UUAUGCAUGAAUAUCAUCCCACUUUCAACUUUAGAAUCAAGAGGGAUUUUGUUCUUUGCAAAUUAAAGAAAAGGCCAGAUGAUGAUGAUGAUGCUGCUCCAACCGUGGAUGAAGGCCAAUCCAGUACGGCUUCUGCUUCUGGAAAUAAUGCAACGGAGGAAGACCCUCAACUGCAAGCACACGUGGCUUCAUUUCAAGGCUAUAAUGAGACAGAGUACAAUCUUAACUCCGCAAUGCAGUGGAAUUCUUACCAUUAAUAGUUUAAUUACAUGUAUUUAAGUAGCUAAUGCCAUUAAGAAUAAAAUUGUUGUCGUUAUUUCAUAUUCCAGGUUUUAUGUAGUUGAUCUUUUCUAUUUUCCUACGUUAAG